rnacentral:rRNA from 1 species
UACGUAAGGUGCGAGCGUUAAUCGGAAUUACUGGGCGUAAAGCGUGCGCAGGCGGUUUUGUAAGCCAGAUGUGAAAUCCCCGGGCUUAACCUGGGAAUGGCAUUUGGGACUGCAAGGCUGGAGUGCGGCAGAGGAGACUGGAAUUCCUGGUGUAGCAGUGAAAUGCGUAGAUAUCAGGAGGAACACCGGUGGCGAAGGCGGGUCUCUGGGCCGAUACUGACGCUGAGGAGCGAAAGCGUGGGGAGCGAACAGG